AAAACUGCCCUCUCUAAACCCAACUUGCUUCACUAGCAGGCAGUGCCACUCUCCACCCAGGAAGGAUUUCAGUCUGUGCUACGGGAGGAAAUCCGUGCUUCCCUCACAAGGUGGCUAGGAAGCAUCUGGAUCUAGAAAGCUGAAUCAUGGCAUGGUGUGGAGAAGCUAAUCAGUUAGAACAUGAAUUUUUAUAUCUCCCUUUCACGACGAGGGAUCUGAUUACGUGUGAUAUCAUCAGAGGUCCACUGGAGUUUGCUUCAAAUGGUGGAGAAGUCAUGAAACUUUCCGAAGCAAUAUCUGUACUGGGCUACUGCAGAUUUUGUGUGUUAACAGUUGAGGCAUAAUUAUAUCAUCACUAAGGAGAGAGAAAAAUAUGGACUCUGAACUUGGAUUCUCUGUAUAUUUUUACUUAUCAGGUGCACCUUCUAGUUCUUAUCAAUAGAAAUACUGCUCUGGAGAUCUAGUUGAGAACCAGUGG